rnacentral:rRNA from 1 species
UACGGAGGGUGCAAGCGUUGUCCGGAAUCACUGGGCGUAAAGGGCGCGUAGGCGGCCCGGUAAGUAGGGGGUGAAAUCCUGCGGCUUAACCGCAGGGCUGCCUUCUAAACUGUCGGGCUCGAGCACGGUAGAGGCAGAUGGAAUUCCCGGUGUAGCGGUGGAAUGCGUAGAGAUCGGGAGGAACACCGACGGCGUAAGCAGCGCCCUAAACGAGUACUGACGCUCAGGCACGAAAGCUGGGGGAGCAAACAGG